AUUCAAAACAGGUUUGAUGCACAGUGUUCAGAACAGGUUACGGCCCUGGUGUGUGGACUGAAGCGCUCUCGCUGAGGUUAAUCCUGAUGAGAAUGAAUACAGUGAAUGCUUCAUCCAGCGAGGUGCUGCUGUGUGUGUGUGUGUGUGUUUGAUCUGUUUGUUGUAGAAGCGCUUUGGCAUCUGUUUGCCCGCUGCUGUCUGGGUCUGGCACAGGAGAAGCACGGCGGACGGAUCAGAGCAGCCUGGCGGCAGCCUCCUCCUCCUCGUUCACUCUUGGCUUUAUGAAGGUCAUCUCCUCCCUGCUGCAUCUGCUGUGCUGCAACAGCGCCUCCGUCUGGACCAACGCUGCUACUGUAGAUAUCAGCUGCUUCACUGGGGAUUUUUUUCUGGAUGUUUCACAGUGGAUUUCUUUUGUUAAGGUUUUUCUUGAGUGGUCUGCCAAUUAUUUUGGCAUUUUAUGUUCAUUUCUGUACCAAAAUCUAAUUUUCCUUUUUU
ensembl:lncRNA